rnacentral:rRNA from 1 species
AGAGUUUGAUCAUGGCUCAGGACGAACGCUGGCGGCGUGCUUAACACAUGCAAGUCGAACGGAAAGGCCCUUCGGGGUACUCGAGUGGCGAACGGGUGAGUAACACGUGGGUGAUCUGCCCCGCACUUUGGGAUAAGCCUGGGAAACUGGGUCUAAUACCGAAUAUGACCAUGCGCCUCCUGGUGUGUGGUGGAAAGCUUUUGCGGUGUGGGAUGGGCCCGCGGCCUAUCAGCUUGUUGGUGGGGUAAUGGCCUACCAAGGCGACGACGGGUAGCCGGCCUGAGAGGGUGACCGGCCACACUGGGACUGAGAUACGGCCCAGACUCCUACGGGAGGCAGCAGUGGGGAAUAUUGCACAAUGGGCGCAAGCCUGAUGCAGCGACGCCGCGUGAGGGAUGACGGCCUUCGGGUUGUAAACCUCUUUCAGCACAGACGAAGCGCAAGUGACGGUAUGUGCAGAAGAAGGACCGGCCAACUACGUGCCAGCAGCCGCGGUAAUACGUAGGGUCCGAGCGUUGUCCGGAAUUACUGGGCGUAAAGAGCUCGUAGGUGGUUUGUCGCGUUGUCCGUGAAAACUCACAGCUUAACUGUGGGCGUGCGGGCGAUACGGGCAGACUUGAGUACUGCAGGGGAGACUGGAAUUCCUGGUGUAGCGGUGGAAUGCGCAGAUAUCAGGAGGAACACCGGUGGCGAAGGCGGGUCCCUGGGCAGUAACUGACGCUGAGGAGCGAAAGCGUGGGGAGCGAACAGGAUUAGAUACCCUGGUAGUCC